GGAUGAACUUUAUGGAAUGCAAAUUAUAUCUUAAUAAAGCUGUUUAAAAAUGGGGAAAAAGUGGGAUCCAAAAAGACCAUUCCUUCAGUAAUCCUGCUUAGUUAUAGAAGGAACACCCUAGUUUUAAGUUCCUAGUCUUUUCCUGUAUGAAGGCUCUUUUUUUUUUUCUCCUGGCCUCACCACAUGGCUUGUGGGAUUUUAGUUCCCUGACCAGGGAUUGAACCUGGGCCCUCAGCUGGGAGAGCAUGGAGUCCUAACCACUGGAUUGCCAGGGAAUUCCCCGAAGGCUCAUUUUUAAGCUGCUCAGGCAAAAUGGCACCCUUUCUCCUCCCAAACCAAUGAGCUUCGCUGAGAGCAGAUCCAGCACAGAAGACAGCCAGAGCCAUGCCGGUUGGCAGACACUUGUCUUUAGCAAAUGUAAUUAAAGGCAGCAGCAAGCAUCCCACCUGAUGAGAAAACAGUCUUUCCACUCAACACAGAGGACUGAGGGAAGAGCGCUAAACUUGGGGUCAGAAUACCUGGAGGGUCUACACCAGCUCUACCACUUUCCAGCUGUGUGAUAUCCGACAAGUCACACGUCACCUCUCUGAACUGCAGUCCCAGCAAGGGUAACUGCUCUCCUACCCUUCACGAUUUGUUAUGAGGAUCCGGACAAUGAUGUGAAAUUCCUUUUCAAAUUAUUCACCAUUCUGUAAAAUGGGAAUCAUUCUUAAUA